rnacentral:lncRNA from 1 species
UCAUUCUGUCUUUGCUUAAUUCCCAUUUUUAAUCUCAUUUUGCUUUUAAUUGUGACAAUGCCAGAAAAUAGUAAAACCUUAUAGGGAUAGGUUUAACCCACUACGUCUGGGGCGAAUUUUAACACUCAAAGGAUUUGCCAUCUCACAGGAUAGUUUAAGAAUCUCGGAUAAGUCAACAGUAUUUUGAUCGGACGGUAGCCAUUCAAACUCGUGCAAAAGGGUGGCAACCCAGAAGCUGACAGUGGUCAAACCUAAGUUCUUUCCCGGGCAUGUCCGCCUGCCUGACCCGAAUGGAGCCAGCCUA